rnacentral:lncRNA from 1 species
UUAAAUUUUAUCAAAAGAAAAAAAAAACAAUUUUAGCCAAAUUUUUAAAGGAAAAUUUAACAUGAUUUUACGUUAAAAGAAAAAGUUUAACAAAAAUUUUCCUUUUGGUUUAAAACUAAGUUUUAAGUCUGUAUAUUGAAAUAAGUGGCGUUUUUUGUUCAUUUUAAAAUUAAAAAAAAGUUUGCAAAAAAUAGAGGCCUAAUCAUGAGAAAAAUUUCUGCUGAUUUGGUUUUACGGUUACUAUAAAACACACAACAGCAGCAAAUGCAGUAAUAUAAAACUUAAAGCAAAUAAACGUUAAAGAAAAUGUGAUAAAUUUCAGCAGAAAAGAAAACAACAAAUAAAAAAGACAAAAUAUACAAAAGAAAUAAAAAACAAGAAU